GCACGGUGGCGCAGUCGGUAGCACUAUUGCCAUGCUGCAAGAAGGUCCUGGGUUCGACUCCCAGCCUUGGGUCU